UCUGUUUGGCCCAAAAGAAAAGCAGAGAAGAGAAAGGUACAGUCUACUUGCUCCUCACCGAUACAUGACUGCAAUUUCAGUUUUAGGGAUUAAGCAGGGCUUUUCUCUUUGUAAGCAGAGAAUGCGCGGAUCCUUAACGUCGCUGGUUCGACCACUCAUGGGGGUGGCCGGGGGGGUUUCGACGAUCUCCGAGAAAAUUGUUUCCUCCGUACUAUUCGAGAGAUUACCCGUCGCCAUUCCCAAUUUGGAUCCCGUGGUUUAUGCGUUUCAGGAGUUCUCAGCAAAAUGAUUAGCUCGGUGAUGCAGAAAGGACACUUGUAAUAAUUUAAAAGGGAAGAAAAUCUAAACUUUUCAUUUGAUUGAUGCUGAUAACGCAAAAUUAUUAUUCUUUUUUGUUCAAGUUUCCGCUACGAAUUACUGUUUUAAUGAACGAGAUGGAAUGCUUGGAAUUUAUGUUUGUAAUUGCUUUUGUUUUGUGUAGCUUUCGAUGGAGGCAGCAAUAUCGACGCAAAAUAAGUAACUAAAAAACAGGGAAGCAACCAAUUUAACGAAAUGAACUGUGUGUCACAUGAGAUUUCAAGUUGAGUCCUCUGAAAAGGUGGUUCAGGGAAGACAAUGUGGAUUAAGCUAGGCCUAUUUUCUUUUUUCAAAUGAAAUACAACAGCCUCAAGGUUGAUUCAAGAUGCCCAAUUUUGGCUCUACUAUGAGAGUUUUCAUGGAAUAUAAAAGCAAUCGGAAAGUAUUUUUUUCAUUGGGUUAUAUUAUAUAUGUUAUGCGAUUUGCUCUCUCCAUGCAUACACGCAUACAACUGCAAAUUUGUUUUAAUUUUUAGCUAAUGAAGUGAAAUUGUUGUAUAACCAGGGGAAAAGGUUACUACCAAAUUGACUAUGUUCCAGCUCCAAGGAUCACUGAAGCUGAUAAAACAAACGACAGAAAGUCAUUGCAGAGGGCAGUUGAUAGAAGACUGUAUCUACUUCUAUAUGGUAAUAGCAAUGGAGCUCCUAGUGAAAACCUGUGUGGCAUUUUCCAGAGAAAGUUUAUGAUUCUGAGGAGACAUUGCUCAAGGAAAUGCUCCAAUGGACCAUAUGGUUAUAAAACAGACGGAGAACAUGCCUGAACCAUAUAAGAGAUUCUACUUCAUGUCUCAGGUGACUGAUACCAACAAGUUUAAUAUCCGGAAGGGUGAGGACUUUGUCUGGGUGACCAAGGAUGAACUCUUGGAAUAUUUUCCUGAACAAGCUGAAUUUUUCAAGAAGAUGAUUAUCAGCUGAUGGUGAUUUCUCCGUUUGGUUUCCAAGCCAUAAAGUCUUUCCUUGUAACUUUGAAGUAGAGUCUACUUUGAAAGUUCAAUACGAGAUUGUAACACCCAU